UCAGCAUCCUUUAAUGAGUGUUAUCUUUCUAGCAGGAUCAUAAACUCAAUAUUUUUAUAUUUUUAUUUUAUAAAAUAGAAACAUAUUUAUUUUAUUUUUAUGCCACCACAGCGAAUAUACUUAUGGGUUUUAUGCCACAAGUGUAUUCACAUAGGACUUAGCAUUUUUAAACAAUUUUUUAUUUUUUGUUUAAGACAACAUAAACAAGAUUAUACUAUUUAGGGAAAGUAAAUAAUUAAGAGGAAAGGGAUAACUAUCAAGUGUUACCUCUUGGCAGGUGUUCGGUGGUUUAAGUCCUCCGAACGGGACUCCUUAUGUCCUUAGUUGUCCUAGGGCUCAUCGGAUGGCAUAGCUGGCACCUCCGGUUGUGCCUCCUCUUCUGCUAUGAUCUCUUUCUCCUCCCAUACUUAUGUUGUGGGGUAUUUAUUUUUGUAUCUCGACACUUUUCCUUCAUAGUCCGCCUAUUCGUCCUUGGUGUUCUAUUUCUUCUAAUUGUGGUAGCGACGUCUUCUUCUUGUUCUGUUCUGCUUAGAUCAAUCAACAAUAUAGUUAUCAUUAAAGUGACGACGUACCUUCUCAGAGGGGAAGUGUAUGUGCACUUCUCCUGUCGUGAUGUAGAUGAUAGCUUUAGUAGUACUUAGGAAUGGUCUUCCAAGGAUGAUAGGUGGAUCAUAAUCAUCUUCUCCCAUGUCAAUGACUAAGAAGUCUAUCGAGAUGAAGUGGUCAUCGAUCUAGAUGGGGACAUUUUUGCUAUACCUUUGACUUAGUAUGUCUGAUCUACCAUUUGGAGUUGGGUGUAUGUUGGAUAUAGAGGCAUUGUUCCGUAUAGAAACACAUAUGUCAAUUUGGCCAUAAUGUUGACGCCCGAUUGGUGUCACAGACUACCUUCUGAAAGGAGCAUCUGUUGAUUGUACAUUCAAUUGUUGGGACACUAGGGUCGUCCUUCUUGAUCAAAUGAGGGGAUUUGAGCUGGUGAUCU
rnacentral:lncRNA from 1 species